AUUGCAGGCUGAAGAGGACUGGCCUUUCAGUGGCCCUCGUGGAGCAGUAGGAAGCUGAGCUGGACUCUCUGCCACAUCGUUCGGUUCCCACAACAGCCUGAAAUGGGGUCUUGCCUUGUUGCCCAGGCUGGAGUGCAGCAACGUGAUCAUAGUUUACUGUAGCCUGGGCUCAACUCCUGGGCUCCAGUGAUCCUCCCGCCUCAGCCUCACAAGUAGCUGGGACCAUAGAUGAAGCAGCAGCAGAAAAAAUGGAAGCCAUUUUGGUUAACGGGUCACAUCUUAGCAGCUGGCAGUGUAAGAAGCGGAAGGAUCCACUGGUCAGAAACGGAGAUUGAGGAGAAGCUGAGAGCACGGAGGGCUUCAGGGGAGAGCCCGUCCUUUGGAAAAGCGGGCAGUUUGCACUCGUGGUAGAUGAGUGGGGAGGCCGCUGAGUCUCUCUGCCCCUUUGCACAUGCUGCACCCGUUUAGUUUGACGUCGUGGAGAGCUCCUCCAGGCACGGGCUGUGUGAAAGGGUUUAAAAGUUUGGGGGCAUGGCUGGGGGUCCCCGCAUGAGGGGUGCUGUGUAGGCUCC
rnacentral:lncRNA from 1 species